rnacentral:lncRNA from 1 species
GACCGCCAUGGUGACUUGCAAGCAACUCACUGCACUUAGGCACUGGACUACCUGAAUUUUUAAUUCAGUGAUGAAAGGCUGUUGGGUGUAGUCAAGUACUUGACUUGUCGGUGCGUGUGUCAAGAUGGGAUUGACCACUCUAGUUUAGGAGCUGUGUACAGUCGUAUUUCAAUUUAGCAAAAUCUUGGCCAGGGUAGUCCUUGUGAGGAGUCAUAGGACUGUUUGAGUUGAGCACA